GUCUCUGUGGCGCAGUCGGUUAGCGCGUUCGGCUGUUAACUGUAAAGGUUGGUGGUUCGAGCCCACCCGGGGACG
rfam:Gorilla gorilla gorilla genomic chromosome, chr1, whole genome shotgun sequence